CCCAGCCAUAACCUCUUCUGGACCCAAUCCUGACCCUGCCCACACCUCCCAUGUAACCCACUCUGACCCAGCCACCGCCUCAUGUCACUCACACAGGGUAGAGCAUGAGUCCAUGGCCAAUGUCCCAACCUCCUGGAAUCUCUCCAACUGUCAUGGAACCUCCCCCAACUCCAGCUGCAGGCUUGACUGAAGCCCUGAGGCCUGCCUCUGGGCAGCAGGGGAGACAAGAGGACAUAGAAGAAGGGCCAGAGGGAUUCAAACCGCAAAGGACCAAGCCGGAACCUGGGAGGGAGACCAACAGAUUUCCAGGUGGCCAUGGAGGUGUCUGGAAGGAGGAGCUGAAGCGGUUGGCAGGCUGUUUAGUGCAUCUGGGGACUGGCCUUGCCCACAUCCCCACAUGUCCCAGAGGCCCCAAUCUGGCCCCCAGAGCACCAAGCCAAGUUUCCUUCCAGCAGCAUCCAGUAAUACUCAAAAUGAGACUGAAGUCUCCCCACCAAUUACCUACAGGCCCCGGGUCAGUAUCCAAGGCUUUCAGCCCAUUACCAACAGUGACCAGGUCAGCAUCCAAGAGCCCUUGUCCAUUAUCCACAAUCACCAUGUCCAAGACCCUCCACUAGUCCACGGUUGCUGGGCCAGUACCCAAGACGCACCACCCAUUAUCAAUAGUGGCUGGAUCAGUACUGAGGACACGCCGUCCACCAUGAACAGUCAUCAGCUCAGUAUCCAAGACACAUCGUCAGUUACCUACAGUCACCGCUUCAGUACCCGAGAUGUUCCACCAAUUUCCCAAAAUCACCACUUCAGCAUCCAAAAUUCUCCAUUACUAUCUCAAGAGACCAAUAUAGAGUCUCUUAUCUACAGUGGUAGCCAAGUCAUUAGCCAAGACCAUCUUCCAACAAACCAGAGUCCCUGCUCAAGUACUCAAUGCCUCAUAUCGCCGAUCCAGGCCAAGGUUGAUGCCUCACCUUCAAUUACUCACAUCUCCACAGCCAGUAUCAAAAGCCUUGAUUCAACCAUCUGGACCUCCCAAGAGAGUUCCAAAGACACUAUGGACAGCUUCCUGGGCAACCCAAGUACUCUAGACAACAAUGUCCAGAGCAUACAGUCAAACAGAUCUGCAAAGAUGGAUUCUGGCAGGUUUCCUUUCCUAUCUGAACUACAUGAACUUCUGGUCCAUCCUGGCGCUCCAGGCCACCUGAAUUUAGGACACAGGAACAACCCCACCUAUGGCCUGCUCCCACUGCUCCCUGUCAAGCACUUGACCGCCCUACUCUCUAGCUCCCCACCCCCACUGAGAGUUUUGCCCUUUUCAUUCCCCUCUCAAUCCCCUCACUCAGAUUAAUAAUCUGUAUAUUUAAAUAAUCUGUAGCUUUUGCCCAGAAUAUUCUCUUAAACUCAAUACCUUCUAAGUGUUCUGUGGAAAUGCCAUCUCUCACUGGGUCCAUCCCUUGGGCCCUCUGGGGUGGAGGGAUAGGUGACAGAAGGGAUUCAGAGGAACGAGGUGCAAGGCACAAGGUCAACAAAAGGCUGCGUCAGUGGUUGUUGGCAUACAUAUACAUGGUGUCAAUCAAUGUUUGUUGAAAAGCUGAUGCUCUCCAAGCCCUUAGGGCUUCAUUGUUUACUUCCCUGACCCCCAAUAAUGUGCCCCUCCUGAGGCAAAUUCUCCCUGCACUCACACGUCACCUCCUGCCCUUACCAGCAGCCCCUGUCAUCGCCUCUUCUUUCUUCUCCCCAAACUCCCCCAACACAGGGCUGUUCUUUUUUAAAAAUUGUCUGUCUAUCUAUCUAUCCAUCCAUCCAUCCAUUUUUCAGGCUGUUCCAUGUAGCAUAUUUUUGCUAUCAGAGUCAUUUGCUGAAUUGAAACUCAAUGUAUUGAAACUCAAAUACAAAUUUAUCUCAUUACCUGGGUCCCCCUACAGGCCCUUGACCUGGGGGUCCCUUCUAUCUCCCUUUCACACAGUGGUUAAGCUGGAAAGGUUAAGUCUAGGCUCUGUCACUUACUAUCUCUGUGACC
rnacentral:lncRNA from 1 species